CAGCAGCCGCGGGAAUACGAAGGGGGCUAGCGUAGUUCGGAAUUACUGGGCGUAAAGCGCACGUAGGCGGAUAUUUAAGUCAGGGGUGAAAUCCCAGAGCUCAACUCUGGAACUGCCUUUGAUACUGGGUAUCUUGAGUAUGGAAGAGGUUAGUGGAAUUGCGAGUGUAGAGGUGAAGUUCGUAGAUAUUCGCAGGAACACCAGUGGCGAAGGCGGCUAACUGGUCCAUAACUGACGCUGAGGUGCGAAAGCGUGGGGAGCAAACAGGAUUAGAUACCCGGGUAGUCCCUGUCUCUUAUAC
rnacentral:rRNA from 1 species